rnacentral:tRNA from 1 species
AAGACUGUAGCAUAAUUGGUUAAUGCGAUCCGCUCAUAACGGGUAUUAUUAGGGUUCAAGUCCUUACUGUCUUA